UUUGUUAUUUUUUCCCUCCACCUUCUUCAAUUGUUCCUACAAACUUGGUGACAGACUCAGACAAGUUGCCAGAGAAGUCCAGGCAAAGUUUCCCACAGCUCAGAACACAUUAUCCUAUAAUUCACUAACAAUCAUCAGCAGAGGAGUUGUUUCCAGAAGGAAGCAGUAGUACUUCUCAUUUUGCCUGCAAGAGGCAUUUGUCUCGGGACAUUUAGCUCCACACAGAUUCUCUAAACCAAAAACAGAAGAUAAUAACCACUUUGCACUGUUCCUGACAACUUCUGUUUUUUACCUGCACUUCUUCUAAAACCUGACUUGUGCUCUCUGCUUUCCUGUUGCCAUGGAGAAGGUUCAGCACAUAACCCGCUCUGCCAUGAGGAGAGCCUCAACUAUUGAGGUGAACCCACACACACGCCAAAAGCUCCAGGAGCUCUUUAUAAAUUUUUGUCUUAUUUUAAUAUGCCUCUUGCUUAUCUGUAUCCUUGUGAUGCUUCUCUGAAGUUCCACACCAUCUUUGCUUCCCAUUGCACUAUCCUAUAAGAAAGCCAGAACAAAAGGGAAAAAAAGAACUAAACAAGAAACUCCCAAGGCAAGAACACCCAUGUGAGCAGGUCAAGCAGUUGGACUAAAACAGUCUCGUCAACCCCACGGCACCAUUUUCGGACUAGCCAUUGUAAACACAUUAAAAAGCUCUUCUGUAUUGAACAGUGAUUUAAAACCUACUGGUACAAAGCUGUCCAUGAGCUAACUUGUUUGUUCACCUUGCUAAGAGGCAUCUCAUGUGAAUGUUGGAAAAUCUGUGCCUUUUUCAUGGAAGUAAGGAAGGGCAUUAAUUGUGUUAUUCAGUUAGUGUUUCAGCCAAGUCAACUACAAUAUUAAAAACAAUCACCUCUCUCUUUUGGGCCUGCAUGCUUUAAAAAUUUCACUGUAAAUCUUUUUAGAUAUUGGAUAUAUAUUUUAAUAUCUUAUAGAAGUCCAGAUCAAUCCAAAAUGAUGCACAGGCACAUUUAGAUUUCAACGUGUUCCAGAAAAUUUUCUGUUCCACUUCAAGAUGCUACAAUGUUACACUGUUGAUUGAAAUUAUUUAACUUGCUCUAAUAGUUUAUGAUUAGAACCCUGAAAAAUGAAGUAGAAGCUAUUUUAAAGAAACCUUUUCCCAGAUAUAAAAUUGUCUUUUUCUUUUUUCCUAUUUGAGGAAGGGAUUUAGGACUGAUUAAUGGGAAGAAAAGUAAUACCAAAACUUCAAUUCUGUCUGAUAUCUUUUCACGUGACUUGUGACUCAGUUUUAAAAAGAUGUGUAUUGAAGCAAACUGGCAUUUGCAAAGAGAGUUUUAAUUUGCUUUUCAAGGUAUAUCAAGAAACAACCACCCUAUUAAGAGAACAGCAUUCACUCAUGUUCAGUUGGCUAACAAAACAAGCAGCAGCCAAAAGUGUGCCUUGAAUAGGGUUGCCAAUUGUCUAGUCACACAAACCCAAACACCCCUGCCCCUCCCCUUCUCUGAGGCCCCAUCCUGCUCACUCCAUUUCCCCACUCUCUGUUGCUCGCUCACCCCCACCCUCACUCACUUUCACUGGGCUGGGGCAGGGGAUGCAGGCUCUGGGCUGGGGAUGAGCCUGGGGUAGGGGAGGGAGGAAGGGGAGCAGUGUGCAAACUCGGGGAGGGAGUCUGGGUGCAGGAAGGGGCUCAGGCCUGGGGCAGGGGAUUAGGAUGUGAGAGGGGGGAAGGGGUGCAGACUCCAGCCGGGCAGCACUUACCUCAGGCGGCAGGCUCCCUGCUGCUCCUGAAAGUGGCUGGCACGUCCCUGCGGCCCUGGGGGAGGGCAGGGGUCUCUGCGCAUUGCCCACACCCCGAGUGCCAACUCUGCAGCUCCCGCUGGUCAUGAAGUGCGGCCAAUGAGAGCUGUGGGGGCGGAGCCUGACUUAGCCCUGCUGCGCCACCGACCGGGAGCCACCCGAGGUAAGCAAGGCUACGGGGUCCGUACGCUGGUCCCUCUGCGCGCCACUCCUGGAAGCGGCCAGCACGUCCCUGCGGCCCCUGUGAGACAGCAGGGGGCUCCAUGCACUGCCUCUGCCUGCAGGCACCACCCCCACAGCUCCCACUGGCCACAUUUCCAGACCAAUGGGAGUUGUGGAGUCGGAGCUCGGGGCACAGGCAGCACACGGAGACCCCACUCGCCCCCGCAGGGUCAUGCCAGCCGCUUCUGGGAGUGGCAUGGGGCCAGGGCAGGCAGAAAGACCUGCAUUAGCCCCCCUGAGCUGCUGGACUUUUAGCGCCUAAAAUCUCCUGGUUUGGCUUCAGUAGCCUCCGGGAGAUAGAGUCUGAAUCCAGCAGACUCCUGGCGAAACCAGGAGGGUUGGGAACCCUAGCCUUGACAUCUCAAGAUCCUUUUGUUUUACAUAGCUUUAGCAGCAAAUUAUUAUCUACCGCACUUUACAUGUACCAUAAUUUGCACAAAGAAAUGUAAUUUCCUUUACAUUAAGAAACUUGAAUACAGGAAAUUCAGCAUUUAUCUAUGUCAGAGAGGCUUUUGUGUUUGGUAUAAUAAAGUAAAAGUAAAUUUGGGUUUUUUAUUCUGCAGCCAGGUCAUUUCCAUUAUUCUGAUCAAACUUACCCAAGCUGGAUACAGUACAAGAAAAAAUAAUGCUUUUCUUUUAAAGGUGGCAAAAACUGAGGACAGGUAGAAAACUAAGAACAGGAUGAAAUACAUGCGAAUCCCAAUUUCUUACUACUGCAACUGAACCGGCAGAAGCUACAAUCAAGAAUUCAGCUGCAAGCACAAGAGGUCAGUCUAGUGCAGAGUAUGGAUCUUGCUAACAACAGAGGCCUCAACUUGCUACUUAAUUUCCUGCUUAUUGUUAUGGUUCUGGUGCUCAUGUUUAUCCUUGUUAAACUCAUGUGAAUCUCCUUGAGGUUCUGUUUUUGCAAUGAUAACUUAACACUUCAAACUAUCUGAACAUAAGAUGUAAAGACUGCAUAAGCUAGAGAAGGGUCUAUAAACUGUAAGAAUAUUACAUGCUCAUGUAUCUACUCUACAGCAAAAUAGCUUAAAAGCAAAACAAUCAACAUACUUGCCAAAGGCUAAGAAAAGUGUAUAGUUCCAUGCUGGCUAUAAAAGGUCACUGUAUCUAAGAAUACACAGUUCUCUUGCCACUGGUAUAAUAAACUGAUUACUUGUAUUUAAACAACUAAGAAUCAAAGGUGGCAGUCUCCUAGGAGCACAAGUUCUGCGAAGAGGAUAACAGAAAUAACAAAAAAUGAAAUCUUCAUAGAGAGGCCUCUCUGAAGAAAACUGAAACACAGGCCUGAAAAAGGACAAGAGAGAUGCCUGAAGCUGAUUGAUGGCAAGUAUCAGAUUACAUACAGAAAAGAAAAACAAAAAUGCUGUUGUGGCUAUUCAAAAGCAAACCCCACCAGCUGAUUACAGGAUUUGUCAUGCAUGUUCAAAUAUAACACAAUAUUAACUGCAGCUUUUUAAAAGGCGUACCAUCCACUGCAGCAUUUGAAAAAACAAAAACAAAAAACCAGCAAGCAGUUCUAUUAUGCAUCAGUAUUGAAAGAAUUUCACCAACCAUCAGCUGUUAAGCUUAAAAUUUUGAGCAACAACGAGGUAAUAUAAAAUAGAAAAAACACUAUCAAGUUUCCAUACUCUACUUCAGUCUCUCUGAAGUUUUCUGAAAGUUUCACGCAAUAGUAGAUGGGACCGACUGGAUACUUACAAUUAAAGCUUUUCACACCUGUCUACGAAUGAUGUAUGUGCAAUAGGUAUUUAAACAGCCUUUCCAAAAACCAAAAAAAGACAUCUAUAGCAACAAGCUGUAAAACUGUAAAUUCUAUGUUGAUACUCUAUUGUCAAUUUCUGUAUUGAUUGUCAAUGUAUGUUUCAAAGACAAAAAGUUACCCAGCUACUUCAUUAUAAGCACUUUAUCACAUUUUGAUUGAUAUUUUGGAGGAUAUUCUGCUGUUAUAAAAUGUCUGUACAUUCAUAUACAAGAGAUCUAAAUUAUAGCAAUGCUUGUUUAAUGUUUCAAUUAACCCUUUUAGAGUCUCACUGUGCAGACACAUUACGAUAACAUGAAGUAUACCAAAUCCAAACAAAAAGCCCACUGCAGUCAAAAGGAACCACCAUGCUAUAAUUUUCUAAUGACAUGCCUAUUCACAGGUAUGCUGCGUAGACCGCUUUAGAAUGUACUGUGUAUAUAUAAACUACAGCUACCAAGAGAGACAAUUUGGAGAAAAAAAACAUAAAAAAAAACGGUGACUCUGUGGGUUGUAUUUAUAUUUCACUCUUUAUCCCAAAUCACUUUACAAACAAAGCAUACAAGAAUCUCACCAUCCUGCGCUAAUGUGUAGCUACCUCUGGGGAGGAAUGCAACAACUGUUUAUCAACUAAACAGUGACACUGCACAAGUUUGAGACAGAUAGUAAAACAUACAUCUUUAAAAUACAGAAUAUAAAUUUGUAUGAGCUACUGGGAGUAACACGUCUUCUGCAGCAAACAGAGGCAUAAUAUUUUUAAUAAUCAAAAAUGGUCAAGAUUGGAUUUACACAUCAGCCAUCAGCACGUAUUCAAAAUCAUUUAUUGUAUUAAGAUGAAUCCCUAGUUGUCAAAUCCCAAGACUACCUACUUCGCAAUGAACAGUAUAUAAAAAGCAACUUCAGUGAGGUACAACAAUGAAUGUUGAUUAAACUAAAAGAGACUGAAGUUUUUAGCACGAAAAAUUCUCUGAAAAUACCAUUUAAUUAAAAAUUGAAAAUUUUCUGUGGAGAAAUGUUGAUUUUGAGAAAAGACUUCAAUUUUUUGAACAGAUGGGACCACGGUAAAAAUAUUAUGAGUUGACAUUUCAAAAUGAAACUACUUUUCACAUUUCAAAAUGUCCAUCGGAAGAGUGGUGGUGUCGUUUCAACAUGUCAGAUUGUUUUGCUCAUAAAUAUAGACAUUUAGUUGAAUACUUCCAAUUCACAAGUUGAAAUAUUUUGAUUUGCAAAAUGUUUUGAUAUUUUGACUUUCCAUUCUGAUUUGGAAUGCAAAUCAAUUCUGAAUUGUCUAAAUUUUCCAAAAGACGAAAGUCUCAUUUCCCGAACAGCUCUAAUAUUAACCUAUGCGUACUUUAAACAGAGAUAUGGGCUAAGCACCUCGUUAAUGGAAGAUGGCAAACAGACAAAUUAAGGGGAAAGCCAGACUACAAAGUAACUUCCAUCCAGCACAGAUGUAGCCUCCCAGAUGAAUUACUAAACUCAAGUGUAAUUGCGGAAUGAAACAAAACAAAAAAAUAAACACGAAAAGAGCAUGAUACAAUGAGAGCACUGGGGGUGGCUGUUGGGUGUGUGGUGAGGACAUAGGCCUGGCCUCAGCAUAGGGCCAGCUUCACUGCACACAGCUGCCCUGGGGCCAGUCCCAGUUUACUCAAGGCAGUGAGACCCUGCCCAGGAAAUGGUGGGGGAGGGGGCUCCACUCAUCAUCCAAACCCAGCUGCUCAGAAUGGGGAGAAAGCCAGCAUGAACCAGCAUCCAACCCUGCCCCACAAAGUGCCUGGAGAACCAACCCCACCCCAGAGUUCCCUUUGGUCCUCUGUAGCUCUGACCUCUUCAUGCAGUGAUGUGGCCAGGACUCAGCCUAUGGAGCUGCAUGUGGUUUCUUGUGCAAAGGAGCAAACAUGGCUCCUCCAGUUAUUCCUGCAGGAUGUUUCUGCAUCCUUGGUUUCAAGAUUUCUGUGGGUCCAACUCAACCCAUGAACCCCUGCUAAAGCCACCAUGGCUUCCACCUAUUAUAUCAAUACUAGAGUCAGAUGCAAGUCAGGGUAGUCUAAAGAAGCCUCUUCUCACCAAGUAUACAAACAUACUGUAUAUUAAAAGAGAAGGAAGGUAUAAUUCUUCCAAAGACACCUAGUACAUAGUACUAAUACACAGGUUUGCAACUUUCUGAAACAUUUCUUACUGUAUGCCCUCCUGCAGUUUUCAAGACAAAGUAUUUUCAUUUUAAAUCUUAUUUCUAGUGCUGCUGUACAGCAUUCAGCUCUAUAUGAACAGUAUCAAGGUUUGAGAAACUACUAUUCACAAAUACUCGUGGUCAAACCUUUCACAGCCUUAUGGGGCAUAUUCUCCACUCCAAAUUUUAUGCCUGGUUUCCAAUUAAAUCAAUGGGAGCCUUGGUCGUGCAUCUGAGGCUAAAAUUUUGCCCUAACAAGGGCCUAAUCCUGCAGCACUGUCCUGUGGAAAAAGUUACCUAAAAAAUGGGAUUUUUGUGUGCUGGAACAUUAGGCAUAAGUAGGGAAUAACUAAGCGUAAUGCCUGAUGGCAGGAGAAUAGUGUGUGGAUCUUCCUAGUUCACUAAGAAAACAACCUUAUGUUUAAAAAAAUAUCUGCUUCUUGAAGGUCUGUUUAUACCUUAAAGGAUUUGAUGAUAGACAUGCCCUCAAAACAGCACAUGUUGGUGAACGCAACCUCAAGAACACUCCCAUGAUGUUACAGAAUAUCAGAGACACACUUAGAAACUAGUAACCUCCCCUGAAAUUUGUUUCACAACACAUGUGUAGAUAUUAUAGCUUCAGGUGAAUAUCUUGUAAUCUCUUCAAAGCAAUAUGCAUCUCCUUUGAAGAAGAUAUAAUCUGUUGAUCCACUUCACUCUUUUUUAUUUUAUUUUGUUUACAGUUUCAAUAUAAAGAUGCUUUCCACAUAGCCUGAAGUUGAGUACAGAAUGUGUUUAAUUGGCCAACUUUUCUGCACAUACUUUCUGAUGUAAUGUUCAGGGCAAGUUAUCAUUGUUCUAUCUACAUUCUUAGUCAAAGAUAAAUUUGGUUAUAAUUGUGUUUUCUUUAGUGUAGAAACAGCAUAUGUGGGUUCUCUCUGCCUGUUCUGAAAAUCACUGCAUUUCAAUCAGUACACAUACUUCCAAGCAGAUGGCACAUUUCUUAUUCCACUGUUAAAAGAUUGUCACCAUCAGCAAAAAUGAUCUCUAGUGUCAUGAAAUGAAAUUCCUUACUCUGAAAAGGAAAAUAAAGUUUAUCAUCCUGUUAUUGUAUUCUACACAGUAUCACUGCUUUACUAUUUUUUUUUUUAAAUAAAAGUAACUAAGAUUUUUUAAAUUUCAGAAACAGUAGCAAAUCAAUUUCAGGAGAUUCUACUGUUUGGACAGUAUUCAAUAUGUAAAAAGCAUUACAAAUAAAUAAAUUUUAUUGCAGAAACA